AUUGAACGCUGGCGGCAUGCUUUACACAUGCAAGUCGAGCGGCAGCGCGGGGGCAACCCUGGCGGCGAGCGGCGAACGGGUGAGUAAUAGAUAGGAACGUAUCCGGGAGUGGGGAGUAACUAGCCGAAAGGUUAGCUAAUACCGCAUAUUCUCUUAGGAGGAAAGCGGGGACGCGCAAGCGCCUCGCGCUCGCGGAGUGGCCUAUCUCCGAUUAGCUAGUUGGUGGGGUAAAGGCUCACCAAGGCGACGAUCGGUAGCUGGUCUGAGAGGAUGAUCAGCCACACUGGGACUGAGACACGGCCCAGACUCCUACGGGAGGCAGCAGUGGGGAA
rnacentral:rRNA from 1 species